rnacentral:lncRNA from 1 species
AAAUCUCAUUCUCUCUCUCUCUAUAUAUAUAUACAUAUACGUACACUCACACGCGUGCAUAUAUAUAUUUCCCCACCUCCGCUAAACUACUUUAGAAGUUACAUAUGUGCUGGCCCUUUACUCUUAAAUACUUCAACAUGUAUUUCCUAGUAGGCACAUUCUCUUACAUAACCACAGCAGUUAAUAACGUCAGUAAGUUUAACAUUGAAACAAUACUUUAUUAGCUGUAUUCCAAAUUCUGUGAAUUAAUCCAAUAGCAUCCUUUGUGGCAUAUCCCUCCUCCAGAACAGGAGCCCAGUAAUGGGCAAGUAGGGACAAGUAUUGCAUUCAGUUGUCAUGUCUUGUUAGCCUUUCUUUUGUUUUUUAUGACAUUAACGUUUUAAAGUACAAAUUCCCUAAAUCUGCUUUUUAUUAAUAAAAUAUUGCUCAUUUGGGGUUUGUUUGAUAUUUAAUGAGUGGAUUAGGUUAUGCAUUCUCAACCAGAAUACUACACAGGUGAUGUGCCCUAUCUAGAGGUACUUGACAGCUAUCUGUCCUUCACUGGUGAUGUUAGUAUGUAUAAUAAAGUACAAGGUUAAAAAAAAAAAAUCAAGUUGCAACAUUGGUAUGUAAGCAUUUAGUAAACUACAUACUAUCACGUAUGAAAAAUCAUGGUGGAAAUUUAUAGGUAAAACAUAACCAAUAUGCAAUUUUCUACUUUCCUCUACAUAUGAGACAAAGGGGAAGGGGACUUUAAAAUGUAAUAUAUAUUGAAGCAGUUACCAGAAAAAAUUGUAAACACUUAAAAGCUGAACAAACUUUUCACUGAAAAACCACUUUACUAAAGCAUUCUUCCAUAAAACGUCAGAAGAAACUACAAUUAGAAAUAGUACUUAGGGAGCUUUUUCAUUUUUUAUCUUCUUCUUCCUAUCUUCAUACCUUCAGGUACCCAAGUCAGCAUAAAGUGAAAUUCAGUAAGGAUAAAUUUAAGAUAUGUUUAAAGAGGAAAAAUAUAAGACUAAGUAUCAGAAGAUUUACUAUGUCAAAGUUAUCGCAAACCUAAUGGGCCUAUCAGAGAGCCUGUUCCAAGGUAAGUGAACCACAAACAUUUACUAAGUGUAUACAUGAAUGUUAACUAUUAUAUGGUAAAUUAUUUCCUAAAUAUUCUUCUGCCCUGUAUCCUUAGUUCAUUAUUACAUUAUUUUCCAGAAAACCUUUUGAAGGUAAUCCCUUUGUGGAUUCUGUUAAUAUGGGCUUACUCCAAUUCCCACUUCUAAAAUAACCAACUCCAAAAUUUGACAUUCUCAAAUGAUUAACACAAUUCUUAUGAUAGCUGAUACCACACACUCUAUGGGCAUUUCUUAUGUAAAUAAAUAUGUGGAGAAAAAAGAUGUUGAAGAUGUUGAACAUCCCCUUAAUACUUCACUGGCAUUUAAUCACUAAUUCUCUCUAUGAGAAUUCAACAAUUAGAAUUCCAUUAUGAUCACUCACUAAAAGCAUACAAGUGCUAGGUACCACGAACCGCAUGAUGAGCAAAACAGACAUGGUCCUUAUCUUCACAGAGAGUUUACAGUUUCUCCUGCAGUAACCAAAUACCUUUCCCACAAUCAUCUCAAGGGUAGAGUAUAUUAAAAAUCGGUUCUGUCAUGAAAUAGUUAUGAUUCUCCCAGUACUCCCGCUUCAAGAGUCAAAAUAGUCUCCUCUUAGUUCAUCAGGAAGUAUUUCUGCCGAUCCUGUUGCUGAUAUGUGGUACUAUGGAUCAAAAUAAGAAUCCUCAUUCAUUUUUAGGCACCGAAAUAUUAAAUUGUGAUCUUAAGAGUUCAAUGGCAAGAAAUUCUUACCCCUUUUGGGGCCAUGGAUCCCUUUGUUGUCUGGUGUUUACUCCUCAACACCUUCCUGAGACUAACAUUAAUAGAAGCCCCUCAAUAAAAACUUUUUUGUUCAAUGCAUCAAUAGUACAUACUGGCUUGAUAAGUAACAUCUUAAAGAACACUUCAAAGAAAGUAAAGACAGAAAGCUUCUGAAGUAACAAAAGUAAAUCUGGAAAUUUUAAACAUUGGGAACACUAUAUCUACAAAAAUCAAAAACUGUUUCUUGUUGAAUGGAUUUUGGCACAAACAGCAUAUGUAACAAUAAUGGGAGGAAUAAACUAUUUUUGGUUUGGAAGCCUGCAUUAUAUAUUUUGAGUGAAACUGUAGUUUUAACAGAUUAAUGUCCAAAAAAUCUGCAUUUAAAAAGAUACGCAUUUUGUCAUCUAUAGUGUCAUUCUGCUUGCUGCUUUCUUCAAAUUUUAUUUUUAUAACCUCCAAGAAGCCUUCUGAUUUUUAACUAAAUAAGAUGGGGCAAUCAAGGAAAAAAAUUUAAAUAAGCAUGCUAUUAAAAAACUGAUUAACAUAAAAGGCAAUCAAUCUGGCACAAUCACUAGAAAGCAAUCACAUAACUCAUUAUGUACAGCCAAAAAAUAUCCGAUACGAGUGCGUUUUCAUAUACUUUAGAGCAUCUUAUUUAGUCCACAAAAUAAAAAAUUUGACAGCAAUAGGAAAAGGUGAUUUCGUAAAUAUUCGGCCAAAGCACAGCAGCGCCACACUGUGGCAUUAUGGUGGAUAUACAGUGGGCAAAUAUUGUGUUAAGUAUUAAGUGCAGUUUACCUAGGAAACUGGAAUAAAGAAAAAUCGGUAGGAAGAACAGUGAAUUUGUCCCUUAAACUAUUUGAAGACAGCACAAUUACUGCACAUACGUUGGCAAGUUCUAAUAAUACCAUUACAUACACAGAGAAUCAUCAGUCAAAUUUAGAAAAACCUGAUCUUCCAUCUUAUAGCUUGAUCAUUAGGGAGAGCAGUGUUAGAUAUUGUAUUCUGGAAUGAUUAACUAAUCAAGACCACCCAGCAACUAAUGUUUUAUUUUAAACACAGUAGUAACAUACAACAAAAUCAUUUAGAUCCAAUGCCUUGAGCAACUAUUUCAGGCCUACGGAAAAAAAUCCAGAACCUCAGGGCCUACGACAUUAAUCCCUCUCCAAAACAAGGUCACCAAUAUGUAUACACAAAUAUAUACAUAUAACUACCUCAGCCUUUAGGAAAAUGGGCUGGUCAUUUUUGAGGGAAGUGGAAGGGAGUUAAGCAAUGCCCAUCUACGUGCUUGCUUCAAAGUACCAAAAUUUAGCCUUAGAUAAUAAAUCAUAUUAGAAAUUGUAAUAGUUUCACUUUCUAAGUACUAAACUGUAUAUAAUAGAAUUAUAUAUAAUUUUGCUUCUAUGAGAAGUGACAGUCUUCUAAGAUAUGAGUUAGUAUGUACACCGUAAUGCUUAUCAGCUCAUUUGUCCAGGAACUUAUCCAGACAAAAACCUAGAAUAACACAAAAAUAUCUGAGCUGCCAAUAUAGGUUUCACAAACUACAUGCACAAAGCUUCUUGCAUGUUACUAUCAAAGGAUGUAUUUAAGCCCUCAAUUUGUGGAGUACAGCAGAAAAAGCACUAGAUUGAAAUAACGUCAACCUAGGUUUGAAACUCACCAUUUAGGCAGUCCUAAACUUCAGUUGCUCUUACAUUGUUUACCAACACAUAUAGGUAUUAACACACAGAGGCAAGAAACAGGCUGAUAGAGCUAGAACUACUGGGCUGCGAAUGUUAUCCUUUCAGGAAGAACUCCAGAGAAUGAAGAAGAGGACCAAGAGGACAGAGCAUGAAGCCUUUUAUUUUCAGGCUUUGAAACCUAAUGAAUUUACUCUGCUGGGUUUGGAACAUGUUUGAGAACAAUGACCCCUUUUUACUUCGAACUUCUUUUUGGAAUGGGAAUGUCUAUCCUAUGCCUCUCCUACCACUGAUUUUUAGAAGACUUGUUUUCUGCUUUCACAAGUCCACAGAUGAGAGGAAUUUUGCCCCAAGAAGGAUCAUACUCCAGUUUCACACAUAGCUGAUUUAGAUGAUUGAGAUGAGAUCUGCCACUUUUUGGGUUGAUGAUAUUAACACUUACAUGAGAUUUAGAGUUAAUGCUGGAAUGGGCUGAGAAUUGCUAAUGCUGGGAUGGGGUGAAUUUACUUUGUAUGUUAGAUGGAUAUAAAUUUUGCAGGGGGCCAGAGAAUGGACUCUACUGGGUUGAAGGGUGUCUCCUGAAAUUCAUGUCCACCCAGAACCUUAGAAUGUGACCUUAUUUGGAAAUAGAGUCUUUAUAGAUGUAAUCAAGUUAAGAUCAGGUCAUACCUAAUUAAAGUGAGCCCUGAAUCCAAUGCCUGGUUUCCUUACAAGGAGAGACAGACACACAGAGAGGAGACAGAAAAGGUCAUUUGAAGGUGAAGGCAAAAAUUGGAGUGAUGCAACUGCAAGCCAAGGACUGCUAGGAAUGAGCAGAAACUAGGAAGAAGCAAGGAAGGAUUCUUUCUUAGAACCUUCAGAGAGACCAUGGCCCUGCUGACACCUUAACUUCCAGCCUUCCAGAACUUACAGAAGAGCUUUCGGUCACUUUAAGACACCAUGUUUGAGGUACUUUGUUAAGCAGCCUGAAGAAACUAAUAUACACAUGGAUACAAUUUAAAUUAUACAUAAGCACACACAUUCGCGUACCCUUCGGAGUUUUAAUUCUAUGUCCCUGCAGUCAAAUGUUCAAAUGCUGGUCCAUCACUUCUUAGCUAGAGAUUGAGGAUCCCUAAUCUGAAAACCUGAAAUCCAAAAUGCUAUAAAACUCAAAGCUUUUUGAGCAUCAAAAUUAUACUCAAAGGAAAAACUCAGUGGAGCACUGUGGAUUUCCCACUAGGGAUACUCAACCUGUGGGUUAUUUAUUUAACAUUUACUUAACAUCUCUAUGGCUGUUUCUCAAACUGUAAAAUUGGGACAAAGAAUUGGGCAGAUUAAGAAUAAACAUGUAAAAUGCCUGGAACUAUCAAGUACUUAAUAAAUAUUAGCUCUGAGGUUGUUGUCAAAGUCA